GCCUUCGUGGUGUAGUGGUCAGCACGCUGGGCGCGUAUUCCAGAGGUCCGUGGUUCGAAUCUCGGCGAAGGGG
rnacentral:tRNA from 1 species